AUAAGUUCAUAAUUUGUUAUAAAUUAUUAAUCAAAUGGUCGACGCAUUCCGUGAAUAUCUGCGAUUUCCAACAGUCCAACCAGAUCCUGAUUAUGGUCCUGCGGUUAAAUUUCUCUCUGAUUUAGCCCUUGGAAUAGGGCUUCAGCCUACCGUUUUGGAAUUUUAUCCAACAAAGCUGAUUCUUGUAAUAAAGUGGCAAGGGAACGACCCUGAAGCGGAAUCAAUUUUACUGAAUUCUCACAUGGACGUUGUUCCAGUGUACAGAGAGAAGUGGACAUUUGAUCCAUUUGGUGCAGAAAUGGACAAUAAUGGGAACAUCUAUGCACGUGGAAGUCAG